rnacentral:rRNA from 1 species
GCGAGGUGGAGCAAAUCCCCAAAAAGUAGUCCCAGUUCGGACUGCAGUCUGCAACUCGACUGCACGAAGUCGGAAUUGCUAGUAAUCGCGGAUCAGCAUGCCGCGGUGAAUACGUUCCCGGGCCUUGUACACACCGCCCGUCACACCAUGGGAGUUGGUAACACCCGAAGUCAGUAGCCUAACCGCAAGGAGGGCGCUGCCGAAGGUGGGAUCGAUGACUGGGGUGAAGUCGUAACAAGGUAUC